rnacentral:rRNA from 1 species
UACGGAGGGUGCAAGCGUUGCUCGGAAUCACUGGGCGUAAAGCGACCGCAGGCGGCCUGACAAGUCGGAUGUGAAAGCCCUGGGCUCAACUCAGGAAUUGCAUUCGAAACUGGUAGGCUCGAGUACGGGAGAGGGGUGUGGAAUUCCUGGUGUAGGGGUGAAAUUCGUUGAUAUCAGGAGGAACACCGGCGGCGAAGGCGGCCCCCUGGCCCGCAACUGACGCUCAUGGUCGAAAGCGUGGGGAGCAAACAGG